GGCGAGAUGGCCGAGCGGUCUAAGGCGCUACGUUAAGGAGUUUCCUUGAUUAACAUCAUUCCCGCAAUGAUUCCGUAGUCCGAAAGGGCGUGGGUUCGAAUCCCACUCUCGUCA